CAGUUUGUUUAUAUGGUAGAUUGCAUUAAUGGAUUUUUGUAUGUUGAACCAUUCCUGCAUCCCUGGGAUGAAGCCUACUUAGUUGUGUUUCAAACCCUCAGAUUAAAUGGAGACAAUCACAGAAAACUACAACUGGUUACAAUGCAGAGAUCAACAGAUUGUGAAGAGCCCAGUUCCAAAGGCCACACCUAUAUCACAGCUCCUGCAUCUAUGGCUCAGGAAAUAUUGCACAAGAGGGGAGAAAAGAUUGUAAGAACCAGAAUAUCAGUAAGUCUGCUAUGAAAGAGUCUAACCCAGAAAUAGCUGUACAAUGAAGACUGAAACAAUUGCAAUAUCAAUGGAUACAUUAACAUGGAAGGGCAAAAAUAUGAUGGGGUACCACUCCUAGACAAAGAAUUAUAUGUAACUAAGGACUGUUGGAAGAAGGACAGUCAGCAUCUCCCAAUAAGGGGAUGAACUCCCUUAUUGGUUGUCCAGUGCAGAGUGGUCAACCCUGAAACAUUAUUCACACAAACAACAGAAACAGUGUCAGCAGAUUAUAUUUGUAUAUAUUACUGCAUAUACGUAUAUUGUUGGUAUAGUGUUCUUAUGGAAUGUAUACAAUUUACCCUUGUUCAUUCAAAUGCUGAUUUAUCUACCCCACUAUCUGGUUUCAAUCCAGACAAUGUCUCAAGUUUGUGUAAACAUGCCACCAUUUGCUCUCUGUUAUUGUCAAUUAAACACAGUUAGUGCUGUGCAAUGGAAAGAAUAAGGUGGGGCAUCCUGGUCCGGAGGGGAGGAGAAGGAAUCGAGUGGGAGGAGGAGGAAGGAUCAGCAGGAGAGGUCUUGGAACCAUGAGGAGAGAUGAACUGGACUUAAGAUCUGACUAAAAGCAAGUAUAAUGGGUAAAAUCUGAAUGGUAGGAAACUAUGUGGGCUUGGAGUUUUAGGAUGUAGUAAUCAUUGCCCAUUAUUGUGCUCUAGGUUAAUUAAAUAAAUCCUAGUCUCUGUGUGUGAUUUGGUUGUACAGCUCGUUUAGGAAUAACCUCUGCUUACCUAAAAGAUAAAUCAAUAAUAAAUAUUAACCACCCACCACAGUGUAUGUAGGCACAAUAUACGUGUUUACAUAUAACAAUAGUAAUAAGAGAAAAAGUGGAUAUCAAUUUGAAAGUGUGUAUGAGGCAUAUGAGGAAGGGGUUUGUGGAAGGAUAGUUGGGAGGGGAUGGAGGAAGGAAAAGAAUGUAGGAAAGUGAUGUAAUUCUUUUGGUGGCACAUGCUUUAAAUCUCAGCACUUGGAAGGCAGAGGUAGGUGAAUCUCUGUGAGUAUGAGGUCAACUUGAUCUACAAAGUGAGUUUCAGGACAAUGAGAGCUACAUAGAGAAACCCUGCCUCAAAAACCAAAAUAAAUAAAUAAAUGGAUAAAUUAA